UUUCCGUAGGUGAACCUGCGGAAGGAUCAUUAGCGAAGCUCGGAACGUCGCGUUCGGUUACUGAUGCUGCCCGGCAACGGGAUGUGCUCGCAAUCGGAUGCGGUGUCCCUUCUCUAUCCACCCCACUGUGAACCAAGCGUGCGAGCCAGUAAAGUUGGGGGAGACCCCUUCCGAAAGCUUGCAUGCAAAAACCUAUAACAUACCCCAAAGAAGUAUCAGAAUGUAACUUGCGUUAACUCGCACAUAUAUAACUUUCAACAACGGAUCUCUUGGCUCUCGCAUCGAUGAAGAACGCAGC
rnacentral:misc_RNA from 1 species